GAAAGGCUGAACGCAUUCCACCGCAGAGGAAUGUUCCAUGCCCGUAAACAUACAACGCUUCGUCAGGGAAAAAGGGCUUUCCAAAUCGCCAUCACUACGUCGCCUCCCAAAUCGAAGGAGAACCCUAGCCGCCCCUCCUUCCUUCCCUACCUCAUCCCCGUCUCACCGCCGCCGGAUGGCGCCCAGGGGCAAAGCUAGGUCCAGCCCCAAGGAGGGCCAUGGCGGGGCACCCGGUUCCUGUCGUCUGGGUAAACGAGAGGGGCUUGCCGGCCGCGGAGGUGGCAGAUUGGCGGCGAACGUGAGCCCUCCUCACCGGCGGCAGCAUUUCUUCCAAUCCUCACGCUCUACGGACGACUCGCUGACCUCGCCCGCUUCAUGGUCGUCUGGCCGACCUUGACUGCCUCUCGAGUUCCAGCGUCUCGCUUCGGCAAGCUCCACCGCGUCCUCAUCAUCAACCCGUAUCCCCGACCUGGACUAUGGUAACUUCUUACUCAUGUACGACAUUUUCCAGGCUGCUCACUGCCAUUAACAUGAUGGAUCAAUCAUUUUGCCUGAUAUCUUUGUUUAGCUUCUGUAGGUGAAGGUUCUUAAGUGUGAGCUCUUAACUUCUUCCCCACGCGUCCGCAUAUUGUCUCAGCACGGGUAAUUGACAUACUACUUUUCUAAUACCUGUGUUUUGAGAUCAGACUGCUCGCGUAUUCUGUGUGUGAUGCAAGAUGCACACUAAAAGAUUUUUUGAUCGGAUUGCCCGCUUACCUUCCAUGGGAGCUUCAGUUGGAAAUCUGGAAAACAGAAGACAAAAUUGUGUGUUGUGCAUGGACUUAUUAUCUUAUCAUUUUGAGGGUAUACUCUACUGUGUUUUGAGUGAAAUUAUGGUUUUGUACGUAUCAUGCUUUUUAGGGUACACACAGUGUUUAGCAUCGAGUUGCAUGGUAAACAUGACUGGAAAAAUAAAUCGAAAGGAACUCUCUGUGUGUCCUCUCCAGAUUAGUAUGACACCGAUAGACACAGAAUCGAGAGAUGAGUCCUCUCCAGAUCAGUUAGCGGUACUGUUAUGUUGGAUAGCUCUGAACCCCACAUUCCACGGUCACUAUGCUUGGUGAUAGCGAUUUCAGGAGCAUCAAAGUCUGUUCUACAAUAUCUCUAUGUGAUAUGCAACUUAGCAAGUUUUCAUCUUCAUUUAGAAAUUACUUAUCCAUUUUACAACAGCAUGGUAUGUUCGCUUUAAGAUGUCUUGCAGGUGCUAUGUUUAUUUCUGUAGAAGUUUUCUCUCCUGGAUUUGGCAUCAUUUAUUCCCAGGCUCAUUGUUUUCAUGACAAUCAGGAAAUCCGAUCGAGGAUAUAUUCAGUUCAUGAACUGCUAAAACAAAUACAUCUCAGGUGUGCUUCCUAAUCUUACUGCAAGGACAAAUAUAAUCUUCUCCUUUGACCAUCAAUCUUUUUUCUUAUUUGUAUGCUAAUGGCACACACUCUCGCAUGAAGGAGAGGAUGAUAACUACCCGGAAGUAAACCUGGGCAUAGUCCGGGCCGGGCCGGGUUUCGGAUCGGGCUUUAAAAAGCCCGAACGGGAAAACUCAAGCCUGAGCCAGGCCCGACCCGGUCGUCGGGCCUAACAAAUCGGGCCUGAACCUGACCCGAACAUGCGAAGCCCGGUAAAGCCCGACAGGCCUGGCCCGAUCUAGGCUUAAAAAUACAUUUUGCAAGCCUCAGCUCGGCCCGGUCUGCUCUUCGAGCUCACUUUUCAGGUCGAGUCCGGCCCGAUGGCACGAUCAGGCCCGGCCCGGCCCGGGAUUUUCGGGCCCGGUCGGAUCGGGCCGGCCGGGCCGGGCUGCGCAUGCCCAGAUUUACCCGGAAGCACAAGAUGUUGUUCAUGAAUUUGAUAGUGGUUUAGUGAGAUUGUGAAUUCCCUCCUUUUGAUCCUUUAAAUAUUUCAAAUUGAUUAUUUGAUCUUAUCUUCAUUCCAAUUAAAUUUCUUACCGCUUCUCCUAAUUGUCUAGCCAAUUAAGAAGAAAAAUCAUGUAUGAGAAAAUAAAGGUCUUUCUUGUAUUGGUUUUAUAUCUUGGCAGGUUAUUACUGGUUUUGCUGCCACAACAUGCAAAAUUUGGUGUGUGUGCGAGGCCAUGGGUUUGUGAUAGGAUGUUGAAGAUCAUAACCUCUAAGAUGUAUGACUACUCAAUAGGUGAGUUGUUGGUACUUCAACAUGCAAUAGUAGCAUAUGAAAGACUUAAUAAUCGCAGAUCAUGGUGAAAGGCAUUAUGAAUAUCAAUUUACAAGUGUGAUUUUGAAUAUAUUUUCAUCUAUUCCACAGGUUUACUCACUUUAUAGUUUGGCACAAUUGAUUUGUCAAUGUCCAAAAUGCAUAUACUUUCAGAAUUAUACAAGUUAUAGUUACGGUAUCUUUCAGAAUGAGAUGGACCUACUUAAUGAUCUAAGCUUCUAAGAAAUGUAUUUAUAUACCUAUUUGACAAUUUCCCCUUCAAUCUGAAUGAAUCACAGGAAAUGGAGAGUUCCACCGAGAGUGUGGGGGAAAUAUGCAUGCUACCAUCAGGAAAAGAGGAAACAAUCUAUAGCAUAUGAUCUUGAAGAGUGUAAAUAGUAGCUCUAUUUUGUUCUCCAAACAGAUCUCUUAGGAUAAACUCAUGUUGUCUACUGAAUCAUGUUGCAUUAAGAAGUAUGACACUGGAAUUAACAAAUGUAUUACUAAAUCUAAUGCUCUUCAUUUCCAACUUAUCAGAGAGAAUGAAAGGAUAUAAUACUAUCUCUAUGGAGCAACAUGACUACAUGGCAUCCCAUUUUUGAAAAUACAACUUGAGCAAC
rnacentral:lncRNA from 1 species